rnacentral:rRNA from 1 species
CCCUACAGGGGGCAGCAGUGAGGAAUAUGGGUCAAUGGCCGAGAGGCUGAACCAGCCAAGUCGCGUGAGGGAUGACGGCCCUACGGGUUGUAAACCUCUUUUGUCGGGGAGCAAGACCCGCCUCGUGCAGGCGGAGCGAGAGUACCCGAAGAAAAAGCAUCGGCUAACUCCGUGCCAGCAGCCGCGGUAAUACGGAGGAUGCGAGCGUUAUCCGGAUUUAUUGGGUUUAAAGGGUGCGCAGGCGGCGAGUUAAGUCAGCGGUAAAAUUUCGGGGCUCAACCCCGGCCGGCCGUUGAA